GACCACGUAGCUCAGUUGGCAGAGCAUUGGACUAGUAUCCCAAAGGUCGCGGGUUUGACUCCCACCGUGGCCA
rnacentral:tRNA from 1 species